CAGUAAUGGUAUUUUCAUUUACUCUCCUCUUUUUUUCUUAUUUUUCUAUACAGUGUUUGGAGACAUUUUAUGUGUGAAGUAUUACUUUGAAUCAAAUGUCAAACUCAUUCUAUAGAAGGCCGGGUUUCUGCAGGUUUUCACUCCACCCUUGAUUGAUGAAUUAAGGUCACUAAUUAGUUAGAAACUCCUCUCACCUGGUUGUCUAGGUCUUAAUUGAAAGGAAAAAACUAAAACCCGCAGACACUCGGCCCCCCAUGGAAUGAGUUUGACACCCCUGUAUUAAAUAAAUGUUGAUUUGACCAGGGGCCGUCUGCCAGGUCCUGACCACCAGGGUGGGAGACAUCCUGAACAGUACCUGCAACGACGAUUGCAAGGCCAGGCUCAUCAUCCAGAAAGGAUUGGAUUCCGGUGCCAGGGAAAGGUUCCCUGACUCUCCGUGUCCCUCUUCACCCAAGGACGAAGAGGAGGUGGUUGUGAGUGCCAUGACUGUCUCAUACCCUAAACCCUCCACCUCAACCCAGGCAGCAUGGGCAGCUCCUGCCCAGACUCUGGACGUUUUUCUGCCCAGACCAUGCCUGGAUGAAGAAGAGGUAGUGCCCAGCACCUCCUUGAAGGACAACUCUGUGACAACCACCCAUGCAGCACUGGCAGCUCCUUCCCAGAGCCUGGAAGAAGAGGUGGGAGAAGCUGAGGUGUCCCACGUGAGUGAGAGCUCCCUGAUGCCCACCAAGGCCAUUGAGAAGAUUCCCUCCCUCCUACCAGGCAAGAUCCUUAUCGAGGAGGACACCCUCAGUUGCAGCACUCCCUGGGCCACCGUCAUGAGCCCCCAGACCCUGAAAUUCAUCCUCCACGGCAUCAUGUGCCGACUGGAGGCCUCAGAGUCCCCCCAGACAAGGAGGGCCAAUGACCCCUUCAGGCUGAUGAAGGAUCUCUUUCUGGAGGUCCAGCAUGCCCUGAAGUAUGCUGACAUCUCUGUCCUCUUUGGCCUGGAGGAGAGCAUCCAAUUCAUUGGGGAGGAUGCGGUGAAGGCCAUCGUGAAGACUGCAGCUAAAAGAUUGUCCCUGCGUUCGGACUCCAACCGGGCUCAACUGCGUGCCGCGCGCUCUGGUGGUGAGGCAGCCAUCAGGUGCAUGGCGGACACCAUCACACAAGUCAUAGAUGACUAUUCCGAGGACUGGAGUUCCGGUGGCCAUUUUGGAGCCAGGAGGAGCCGUGCUAGUGGGAGGUCACACUCCUCAACCUCCUCAAGGAGUGACGUCACCCUCACCGAGGAGCUCCUGGCCCGGAGGGAAUCCCUUGAAGAGGACCUAGCGGAGAUGGCUGAUGACAGCACUGGUUUGGAGAAGACCAUUGUAAGCUCAGCCAUCUCUGCCAAGUCCCAGGUAAUUAGCUACAUUUCAGACAGCUCCGAGCCCAACAGCUGUGCCCUCUUCACAGACCUCGAGGACAUCACCUCCACACAUGUGAGACAGACAAGAACUAGUAGAUUGUUUAGUUAUUUGGGCUGUUUGAUUGUGAGGCAUCAACUCAAAUCUGUUUCUCUCUCUACGAAGGAGAAGGAGAAGGAAGAGGCUAUGAAGGAAGAAGUGAGGAAGUCAGGAAAGAAGAGGCGAAGAAAUAACAAGGACCAGAAGAAGAACAAGGUGUCUCCUCUUGGCAAUGAUAGUACUGUGGCUGCAGAUGAGCCGAAGAAAAAACAGGCUCUCCUCCCGCGGAUCACAGCUGCCCUGGCAAGACUAUUUUGCUUCCCCUGCAAAAAAAGAUGCAAAAAGUAACUGCAGAGACGAGUUUGGGAAACCCUGAUACCACCUCCCCCAACCAACUUUCUAAAAAAACAUCAGUGCCACCAGAAGAGGGAGACAACCCCCCCUAUUCACAACUAAUUUGAUUACCCCCCCAUUUAUUUAAUAAACACAACUUUCAGCUAUUUUGAUCUUCUUUACUUUUUUUUUUACAGACCCACCUGCAUGCUAUAGAUUCGUAAGGUCAAUUUGCUGUGUACUGUCUACAGUAUCAUUGUUAUGAGUAAGUUCACUGUGUCAGUCAUUAUUUUUUACCUUUAUUUAACUUGGCAAGUUAGUUUAGAACAAAUUCUUAUUUUCAAUGACGACCUAGGAACAUUGGGUUAACUGCCUUGUUCAGGGGCAGAACAACAUAUAUUUUAGGCUACCUGUCGCUAUAUAGGUAUAGGCUAAAUGCCCUAACCUAAUUGCAAUUUACAUAAUAAGAGUUACAAUAGAAUAAUUCCCUAAUUGUAUCUUUCUUGAGAGGGAAUAAAUCUCUAAUACACUAUACUCAAUACCAUACAGUAAGCACACCACUCUAUACCGAUGCAAGCCCCGCCUCCCCGCAGAAUAAAGAAUAGACACGAGUGGAUAAUUGCGGUGUCACUACAAAGGAUACCUUAAUUAAGCCAAUUCAUUGGCUGUGUUGUAAUCUGAUUGGUGUGUGUACCACCUAAUGCAAAAGGUGUAAAAACGCUGAAGCACUCCAUUCUGUUCAUGAUUUCUAUUUAUGAUUGACGCUGCUGUUUAAAGCUAUAUUUUUUAAUGUCUGCCUUAUUUGCAUUAUUACACAUUUGGAGAGGACAGGGGAGAUAGGGUGGACAGCUCCCUGUCUAGUAGUUGUAGCUGUAGUAUCUGGGAUCUACAUCUGUUUAUAUUAGUUACUGUGCUGUUACUAAGCAGUAAUGCAUUACGGCAGUGUUACGUUACUACACCUAAUAGGAAAUGCACAUGCGCACUGGAAUGCCGCGAACUGUAGAGCACGAGGGGUUUUGACUAAACGAAAUCUAACUGUACUCUCGUCUCCUGCCUGGUCAUUUCUCCACAACACAAAUAUUACAGUGGCGACGAGGUGAUUAAACUACAUAAACGGACAUUGCUUGAAGGGAAGAAUGUUGCUUGAGUAAUGAAACUCAAAAUAAUUAUGUAAUUCGUCAGUUAUAUUUAUUUUCUUUCGCCAGUAGAGAAGUCUAAGCACUGCUAGCACUGCUAGUACAGUAUUCAGGAGCUGCCAAGUAGCAAGACUAUUGGAGUCCAGAAUAGCGACACUACCCAUUGAAAUUAGGCGAUCUCAGUGGAGAAAUAUUGACAAGGGAGAAAAAAAAGGAAGAAGGGACGUACAUUAAUACAAAUGAGUGCAGUGAAUGAAGUAAUUGCAGAAACUUCUGAAGUGAAGAAGUAGAUGACUAUUCAGAAAAUUAAGGAAUAUAAGGAAACUGAACAAUUAACUGUGAAAAUGGCAACCAUCGGUCGAGUACCAGAGUUUGAGGCUACAAAAGAGGAUUUUGAUUCCUAUUUGGAGCGUUUUGAGCGUUGGCUGAUAAACCCAUCAAUGAUUAGAUUUAUUUGACCAUAAUAAUUUGUUUGGUCCAUAUUAUUGACACUAAAUAGAGGUUAUUUUAACCGUAGCUGUUAAAAGUCCAACAGUGGGAGUGUGCAGCAGACUAAUGAUGGCGCGACUUUAAUUCCUGACUAUUUCAGUUUUGGCCAACAGAGGUCAACAUUUAUCCAUAAAAUACGAUUAAACCUCACUGAACCAAAGUGAAUUGGGUUACACUGUAAACUUUAUAGAGAUUUCGUAUGUGAUCAGAAACGAUGCAUUCAUUUCCCAGAGUGGUCGCACUCUGUUAUUGUAGUUGACGUAAUCGUGUACAAUGGCAUGACGUAAUAUAUGAGCCUAUGACUUAAACGCACUCAAGAGAAGGUUCAGUGCCUACUUCUGGCUCAGUUGAGUUGAUGAUUUACAAAGGAGAGUCAUCCUCAUGUUCAAAUAAAUCACUUUUAGUGGACAAAGAUGACAUUCUGUGAGUACAGCAAAACGGGCCAAGAUUUUGUAAAAAAAAAAAUUGAAAUGUAUUUUAAAAUGUAUUUGUUUAUAAAAAAUGUCAGGUCCAAUCUGAAGGGUGCCUGAAAGCACAAUGGAUAGAAAUCAUAAACGGUUGAGAAUAAUUCUUCAAAAAGUAAGUCUCAUAAGUGAUUAAAAAAAUGUUUUUGUUAAUUCUGGGGCUUUCUCUCUUGAUAUGUAAUGGGGCUAUCUUCUUGGUAGUAUAGCCUAUAUGCUGUAAAAACAGAUUGACAUGAUUUAUAGUUGGAAAAGUGGGCAUAAUAAUGGAGGGCUUAAGUUAAAUGUAUUUCCUUAUGAUCCUGUACCCCAGGCUAGGACCCUCCAAGCUAGUGCUGGAGAGCAGGUGCUCCAGACAGACGUCAUUUCUGCUGGCCAUGAUGGAGUAAGGCUGCCAGCCCUGGGAGACUGCCCCAAGGACAGCCCUCUAAAGGUAAGAAACAGCUUUUAGUUCUGAUGCAAAACGUCUGGUUGUAACGGAGACCAGUUGGUUGUAAUCUAGUAAUAUGAUGUGUUGAAAACCAGUUUACAACGAGAUAAUAACACCAUUAAGACACAUGGACCACCUACUAGUUAGAACUAAUAGUAUUGGAAUUCUGAUUGUAAA
rnacentral:lncRNA from 1 species